rnacentral:lncRNA from 1 species
UUUAUAAUUUUUUUGGUACUAUUUUUUAUGUUUACCAUCGCUAAAGACACUUUUUUUAUAAUCUUGGUUUGAUCCCAAAGGCUUUCUAGGCUCAAGAACUAGUCACCAAGAGAUCCAUAGACAUCUGGGUUUUCUUGCCACUUAAGGCGUCUAUGGGUGGCCAAAAAGAAUCGAACCCAUGGCGGAAUCUUCAGCUAAAACUCUUUUACCACUAGACAAAGACCACUUGGUUCUAAAGACACAUUUUAAAUAAUAUCUUCUUCAUUAAGAAGCAAAAGACUUUUAUAUCUUUUUUCUUUAUAUAUAUUAAAUAAUUAUUUAAAUAAAUAAAAAAAUUUAAAAAUAUAUUUUUUAUGUCUUCAAAUUAUAGUUUUUCAAAUUCAAAUUUUUUAAUAUUUGUUUUUGAUUUUUUUUUCAAAUUUUUUUUUUUAAAAUUG